rnacentral:rRNA from 1 species
CCUACGGGGGGCUGCAGUGGGGUAUUUUGGACAAUGGGCGCAAGCCUGAUCCAGCCAUGCCGCGUGCAGGAUGAAGGCCCUCGGGUUGUAAACUGCUUUUGUACGGAACGAAACGGCCUUUUCUAAUAAAGAGGGCUAAUGACGGUACCGUAAGAAUAAGCACCGGCUAACUACGUGCCAGCAGCCGCGGUAAUACGUAGGGUGCAAGCGUUAAUCGGAAUUACUGGGCGUAAAGCGUGCGCAGGCGGUGAGGUAAGACAGUUGGGAAAUCCCCGGGCGCAACCUGGGAACUGCAUCUGUGACUGCAUCGCUGGAGUACGGCAGAGGGGGAUGGAAUUCCGAGUGUAGCAGUGAAAUGCGUAGAUAUGCGGAGGAACACCGAUGGCGAAGGCAAUCCCCUGGGCCUGUACUGACGCUCAUGCACGAAAGCGUGGGGAGCAAACAGGAUUAGAUACCCCGGUAGUC